rnacentral:rRNA from 1 species
AGAGUUUGAUCCUGGCUCAGAACGAACGCUGGCGGCACGCCUAACACAUGCAAGUCGAGCGCUUCACACUAACUUCGGUUGGAGUGAGGAGCGGCGGACGGGUUAGUAACGCGUGGGAACAUACCCUUUUCUACGGAAUAGCCUCGGGAAACUGAGAGUAAUACCGUAUACGCCCUUCGGGGGAAAGAUUUAUCGGUUAAGGAUUGGCCCGCGUAAGAUUAGAUAGUUGGUGGGGUAAUGGCCUACCAAGUCUACGAUCUUUAGCUGGUUUGAGAGGAUGAUCAGCAACACUGGGACUGAGACACGGCCCAGACUCCUACGGGAGGCAGCAGUGGGGAAUCUUAGACAAUGGGCGAAAGCCUGAUCUAGCGAUGCCGCGUGAGUGAAGAAGGUCUUAGGAUCGUAAAGCUCUUUCGCCAGGGAUGAUAAUGACAGUACCUGGUAAAGAAGUCCCGGCUAACUCCGUGCCAGCAGCCGCGGUAAUACGGAGGGGACUAGCGUUGUUCGGAAUUACUGGGCGUAAAGCGCGCGUAGGCGGACCAAAAAGUAAGAGGUGAAAUCCCAGGGCUCAACCCUGGAACUGCCUUUUAAACUCUUGGUCUUGAGUUCGAGAGAGGUGAGUGGAAUUCCAAGUGUAGAGGUGAAAUUCGUAGAUAUUUGGAGGAACACCAGUGGCGAAGGCGGCUCACUGGCUCGAUA